UACGUAGGGUGCAAGCGUUGUCCGGAAUUAUUGGGCGUAAAGAGCUCGUAGGCGGUUUGUCGCGUCUGCUGUGAAAACUCGGGGCUUAACCCCGGGCCUGCAGUGGGUACGGGCAGACUAGAGUGCGGUAGGGGAGACUGGAAUUCCUGGUGUAGCGGUGAAAUGCGUAGAUAUCAGGAGGAACACCGAUGGCGAAGGCAGGUCUCUGGGCUGACACUGACGCUCAUGCACGAAAGCGUGGGGAGCAAACAGG
rnacentral:rRNA from 1 species